rnacentral:rRNA from 1 species
UGGGGAAUAUUGCACAAUGGGCGCAAGCCUGAUGCAGCCAUGCCGCGUGUGUGAAUAAGGCCUUCGGGUUGUAAAGCACUUUCAGCGGGGAGGAAGGCGAUAAGGUUAAUAACCUUGUCGAUUGACGUUACCCGCAGAAGAAGCACCGGCUAACUCCGUGCCAGCAGCCGCGGUAAUACGGAGGGUGCAAGCGUUAAUCGGAAUUACUGGGCGUAAAGCGCACGCAGGCGGUUGAUUGAGUCAGAUGUGAAAUCCCCGGGCUUAACCCGGGAAUUGCAUCUGAUACUGGUCAGCUAGAGUCUUGUAGAGGGGGGUAGAAUUCCAUGUGUAGCGGUGAAAUGCGUAGAGAUGUGGAGGAAUACCGGUGGCGAAGGCGGCCCCCUGGACAAAGACUGACGCUCAGGUGCGAAAGCGUGGGGAGCAAACAGG